UUAUGGCUCAGGAUGAACGCUGGCGGCGUGCCUAACACAUGCAAGUCGAGCGAUUCUCUUCGGAGAAGAGCGGCGGACGGGUGAGUAACGCGUGGGUAACCUGCCUCAUACACAUGGAUAACAUACCGAAAGGUAUGCUAAUACAGGAUAAUAUAAGAAAUUCACAUGGAUUUCUUAUCAAAGCUCCGGCGGUAUGAGAUGGACCCGCGUCUGAUUAGCUAGUUGGUAAGGUAACGGCUUACCAAGGCGACGAUCAGUAGCCGACCUGAGAGGGUGAUCGGCCACAUUGGAACUGAGACACGGUCCAAACUCCUACGGGAGGCAGCAGUGGGGAAUAUUGCACAAUGGGCGAAAGCCUGAUGCAGCAACGCCGCGUGAGUGGUGAAGGCCUUCGGGUCGUAAAACUCUGUCCUCAAGGAAGAUAAUGACGGUACUUGAGGAGGAAGCCCCGGCUAACUACGUGCCAGCAGCGGC
rnacentral:rRNA from 1 species